rnacentral:rRNA from 1 species
GACGAACACUGGCGGCGUGCCUAAUACAUGCAAGUAGAACGCACAGGAUGCACCGUAGUUUACUACACCGUAUUCUGUGAGUUGCGAACGGGUGAGUAACGCGUAGGUAACCUGCCUGGUAGCGGGGGAUAACUAUUGGAAACGAUAGCUAAUACCGCAUAAGAACAUUUACUGCAUGGUAGAUGUUUAAAAGGUGCAAAUGCAUCACUACCAGAUGGACCUGCGUUGUAUUAGCUAGUAGGUGAGGUAACGGCUCACCUAGGCGACGAUACAUAGCCGACCUGAGAGGGUGAUCGGCCACACUGGGACUGAGACACGGCCCAGACUCCUACGGGAGGCAGCAGUAGGGAAUCUUCGGCAAUGGGGGGAACCCUGACCGAGCAACGCCGCGUGAGUGAAGAAGGUUUUCGGAUCGUAAAGCUCUGUUGUUAAGGAAGAACGAGUGUGAGAAUGGAAAGUUCAUACUGUGACGGUACUUAACCAGAAAGGGACGGCUAACUACGUG